AAAAGGAGAAAAACGACGCCGAAACACGAACCAUCCGCUAAAUAUAACGAUUCAGCUGCGGAUGAACCGAGGCUGACGCCGCCGCUGCUGCCGCUCGUGGUGUAAUGUUGUUGCUGGUGACUGGUACAUUUUCCAGGACUUUCUGGCUCCAACAGGACAUAUGAGACAAGCCUCUAAACCAGGGUUGCAGGCAGCACUGACCGAGCCUGAGGAUCUUUUACUGUAUCUUUAAGGAUGGUUGCCAUAGAGACCCAGGAAUCUGGCCAACUAUCCCAGGAAGAGUUUUGGACCACUGCAAAGGAUCUUGCUUCCUGUAACACAGGAAACUACAUAAAAGAGGAUUAUGGAUAUUUGCUGAGUAUGGUGCAUUUAUUGGUACUAUGUAGUGCAGAGGCUCUAAAGAUACUGUAUUUAUUCAUGUUUCCUAACAAGUCCUGGACCAAAAUUCACAUGGACUCUCCAAAAACUGUGUCAGAGUUGAAGGUUUUCUUGCAUAUUUCUUUGAAAAGUUUACAGUUGGCAACUGUAGAAAGAAGCAUAAUCUCAUUUAACAUGUUUAACUGUGCUUUAUUCAAUAUCAGCAGGGUUAGAAACGGAACAAUACUUGGAAAGUGCACAAAUGUAAACAGCUUCAAACACAGCUUAAACCUUU